UUUUCGCAAUGCCCGAAAGGGUGACGAAGCGACGCCGCGUGGGGGAAGAAGGCCUUCGGGUUGUAAACCCCUGUCAGGAGCCAGGAAAUGCAGGGUGUCAAUAGCGCCCUGUUUGACUACAGCUCCAGAGGAAGCCAUGGCUAACUCUGUGCCAGCAGCCGCGGUAAUACAGAGAUGGCAAGCGUUGUUCGGAAUCAUUGGGCGUAAAGCGCACGUAGGCGGCCUUGCAAGUCGGUUGUGAAAUCCCCUGGCUCACCCAGGGAACUGCAUUCGAUACUGCGAGGCUUGAGGACAGGAGGGGAGAGUGGAACUUCUGGUGGAGCGGUGAAAUGCGUAGAUAUCAGAAGGAACACCGGUGGCGAAAGCGACUCUCUGGUCUGUUUCUGACGCUGAGGUGCGAAAGCUAGGGGAGCAAACGGGAUUAGAUACCCCGGUAGUCCUAGCCGUAAACGAUGGGCACUAAGUAGAGGGGUU
rnacentral:rRNA from 1 species